UCGUCAGCUCGUGUCGUGAGAUGUUGGGUUAAGUCCCGCAACGAGCGCAACCCUUGUUAUUAGUUGCCAGCAUUAAGUUGGGCACUCUAAUGAGACUGCCGGUGACAAACCGGAGGAAGGUGGGGAUGACGUCAAGUCAUCAUGCCCCUUAUGACCUGGGCUACACACGUGCUACAAUGGGCAGUACAACGAGAAGCAAGCCUGCGAAGGCAAGCGAAUCUCUGAAAGCUGUUCUCAGUUCGGACUGCAGUCUGCAACUCGACUGCACGAAGCUGGAAUCGCUAGUAAUCGCGGAUCAGCACGCCGCGGUGAAUACGUUCCCGGGCCUUGUACACACCGCCCGUCACACCAUGGGAGUCUGCAAUGCCCAAAGCCGGUGGCCUAACCUUCGGGAAGGAGCCGUCCAAGGCAGGGCAGAUGACUGGGGUGAAGUCGUAACAAGGUAGCCGUA
rnacentral:rRNA from 1 species